AAGAACCUGAGGGAACGAUUACCAGAAGAAGAAUCAAAUCUACAUAAUCGGCAAACCAGAGAUACGGAUCCAACUCUGGCAGCUGCACGAGAUCGAGAUUGGUUUUGGCCACCUCCGAAAGAUAGCUCAGAUGAGACAAAAUCAAACACAUUAGCAGACUCAAAUCACGAAGAACCAACAACAGGCCUUGGAAAUGUGCCAAAGCAUUACAGAUUUGCAGCAUCAGAGAGAAGCACCUCUGCCUCCUCAAGGUUGAUGGAGUGGAGGGACAUGCAAGGAGAUAGAUAUAACAGUAGGCUUGGCUUGCCUUCGACAAGCUACAAGGAGUUAAAAGUAAAGGAUGGGUGAUGAGGGGAAGCUGGGAACGGUGGAAAUAGUGGUGUGGAGGUGUUGGCGAUGAUGUCUUGUGUGCGCCACUGGAUAUAAAUACCUGCUGAGGGGAGAGAAAGGAUUGAAGGCUAAGCUUGUUUGGACUCACUCGAGGAAAUGAUGGCCACCUUCCUCACCCCCACCACUUUGAGCUUUGGCCCAUCAUGUCUUUUGUGCCAUGUAUUCCCCAUCCUUUCUUUAGAGUAGGGGAGGAUACGGAGAAAGGAGAGGCCCCAAGUGUUUUUUGGCACACAGUGGUGAGGAGAUUGGACCUUUCCCCUUUAUCCUACCUUUUACCUCCCCUCACCUCCUAUAGAGAGAGAGAGAGAGAGAGAGAGAGGAAAAGGUUGGUGAUGGUUCUUGGUUGGAUUGGGUUCCUCUUAUUAUAGUUGGUGGAGACACCAUGGUCCACCUUUACCUAACUCAGAACAACAAUGCUGUGCUUGUACUCAUUAGAUGGUGUUGAUUGUCCUUGGCAUGGUUCAUCAAGACAUGAAUAGGGAUUGCAAUGGAUCACUUGUUUCAGGUA